AACUUUCAGCGACGGA
rnacentral:rRNA from 1 species